UACGUAGGGUGCAAGCGUUAUUCGGAAUUACUGGGCGUAAAGCGUGCGCAGGCGGCUUUGCAAGACAGAUGUGAAAUCCCCGGGCUCAACCUGGGAACUGCAUUUGUGACUGCAUGGCUGGAGUGCGGCAGAGGGGGAUGGAAUUCCGCGUGUAGCAGUGAAAUGCGUAGAUAUGCGGAGGAACACCGAUGGCGAAGGCGAUCCCCUGGGCCUGCACUGACGCUCAUGCACGAAAGCGUGGGGAGCAAACAGG
rnacentral:rRNA from 1 species